UACGUAGGGUGCAAGCGUUGCCCGGAUUUAUUGGGCGUAAAGGGCGCGUAGGCGGCUCGGCACGUCCGUUGUGAAAUCGCCCGGCUCAACUGGGCGGGGUCAGCGGAUACGGCCGAGCUUGAGCAAGCUAGGGGGCAAUGGAAUUCCCGGUGUAGUGGUGGAAUGCGUAGAUAUCGGGAGGAACACCAGUGGCGAAGGCGGCUCACUGGCCCAUUACUGACGCUGAGGCACGAAAGCGUGGGGAGCAAACAGG
rnacentral:rRNA from 1 species